rnacentral:rRNA from 1 species
UAAUAUAAUAGCAUGGAACAAUCAAAAAUUAUAGAUACGUUGGAGACUUAUCAAGCAUCCCCAAGCUUAAUUCCUGCUCGUCCUCGAGUAGGUAAAUGAUAAAAACAGAAUUUUUGAUGUGGAAUGCUACCUAACAUAAUUACCAAUGUAAUUUUCUUUAUUGUGGCAUGAAUGUUCAGAUCCGAAAGAUUCAAGACAAAAGUUUAAUAUUGACAUAAAAAUAAUAAUACUUCAAGCAUACUAACAAGG